AGGGGCACUUUUGUUCCCAUGAGAUGGCCAGUGGAUCUGAGUAGUUGCCUUGAAGCUGAUCCUGUGGAGUUCCUUUCAAAACCAUUAUCUUCGCUCGGUCUAACUGAUAAACCAGAAACACCAUCUUCAAAAUCUAGGUGAGUGUAUAUCCGCUUCAACGUAUAGAUGAAUUGUUAUUACUUUAUAUUCUAACUUCUAUUUGGGAAGUCAAUUGUCCUCUGUGUAAUUAACUUUUAAAACGGAAAAAGAAAAACCUCAUUUGAAAAAUAUGGAGGACAAUUCUGGAUGCUAUAAACUGUAAUGUAUGUGGAGUCUGGAGAGUCAUUUUGCUUGUCUUGCUGUAAGUGAUUAACUUCUGGUGCAUAGGUUCUGCACUUCGACUUGUUCAAGUUAUUUAGUGAUGGUGAAAUUUGUAGUCUUUGAUUUAGUGUCUGAUCUGUUACCUAGAAUUAUAUAUCUUGCUUACUGCAUCCUUUCAAACCAUUGUAUAGCUUGCAUAUCUUUCUGGAGACCAUAUAGUUCCAAACAUUUAUGUAUAUAUUAUUGUAAACUUGAUGAUACAAUGUUGUCAUCCAACUUUACUCUCUGUUUCAAAACACUAGAUCACCGUUGAGUCACACUAUCGUGCAGAAAGCUAGAGGUAUUUUCUUGAAGCAUCGUAUACAUUUGCUUGUUGUAGUUUAGGUUACUAUUUCUAUCACACAGAUCCUGCACUUUUAGUUUUUUUUUUUUUUUUUUUUGGAUAAAAGACAAUUCAGCUUGAUGAAUCCAUUCAAACUUGUAUAUUCUGCAUUUUGUUAUUCUGGUGGAUUAUGUAUAUUUGCAAACAUACAUUUUGUUUGAUGCAUCAAUCCAAUUUAUAUAUAUCUUCAUAUCGUUGCGUCCCACUGAUUAGAGAAACAAAUACAACCUCACCAUUUUGCAUUUGGUAGCCUCUAUAUUUAAGGCCAUGUUAAUUCUUGCGGUAUGAGCUACUGAAGUUUCCGUCACUUUUGUGUUCUGAUUUGGUUAGGGAGACCACCAAAGCAGUGAAACCUCUCACACAAUGCCUUUCGACUCCCCAAAGUCGUUCCAAAAGCCGUGCUAAUCAAAGGAGAUCAUCCAAACUACAGGUUUGGAGACCAUGUAUUCCUUAUGAUUAGACCUCGUUGUGGACUCAAAGGGUUUGACAAAGGCAAAAAACUUGCUCCACGUUUUAUUGGUCCUUUUGAGGUUUUGGAACUAGUUGGUGAGCUUUCUUAUAGACUGGCUCUUAACCUGAACUCUCUUGUAUCCAUGAUGUAUUUCAUAUAUCUGCAUUGAACCAGAUCUUUCACAUGUUUUGGAUUGGAAAGAUUUGAGCAUUCGAAAAUAUCUAUCUUACGAGGAGAAGCCAGUUAGAAUUGUGG
rnacentral:lncRNA from 1 species